GAUGAACGCUGGCGGCGCGCUUAACACAUGCAAGUCGAACGGACUUUAUUUCGGUAAAGUUAGUGGCGGACGGGUGAGUAACGCGUGGGUAACCUGCCUCACACUGGGGGAUAACAGUUAGAAAUAGCUGCUAAUACCGCAUAUGCGCACGGGAUCGCAUGAUUCAGUGUGGAAAACUCCGGUGGUGUGAGAUGGACCCGCGUCUGAUUAGGUAGUUGGUGAGGUAACGGCUCACCAAGCCGACGAUCAGUAGCCGGCCUGAGAGGGUGAACGGCCACAUUGGGACUGAGACACGGCCCAA
rnacentral:rRNA from 1 species